rnacentral:tRNA from 1 species
GCCUGGGUGGCUUAGUUGGUUAAGCUUCUGACUGUGGCUCAGAUCAUGAUCUCACGGUUCGUUGGUUCGAGCCCUGUGUCAAGCU